rnacentral:rRNA from 1 species
AGCCGGUUCUGCCGGUGUACUUUCCUUUUGGAUGGGUCAACAUCAGUUCUGACCGGCGGAAAAGGGCGGGAGGAUAACGUGGCACCCUCGGGUGCGGUAUAGCCUCUUGUCACAUAUCGUCGGUUGGGACUGAGGAAUGCAGCUUGCCUUCGGGCCCGGGGGCUCGCCCCACGUACAAGCUUAGGAUGUUGGCAUAAUGGCUUUAAACGACCCGUCUUGAAACACGGACCAAGGAGUCUAACAUAUGUGCGAGUGUUUGGGUGUCAAACCCGUACGCGUAAUGAAAGUGAUCAUGGAGGGAUCCGCAAGGAGCACCUUUGACCGAUCCAGAGCCUCGGUGACGGAUUUGAGUAAGAGCAUAUAUGCUGGGACCCGAAAGAUGGUGAACUAUGCUUGAAUAGGACGAAGCCAGGGGAAACUCUGGUGGAGGUCCGUAGCGAUUCUGACGUGCAAAUCGAUCGUCAAAUUUGGGUAUAGGGGCGAAAGACUAAUCGAACCAUUUGUGCUACUGGUGGUUAAGAGGGCUGUAAAAGGCAGACCCUAGUCUCAGUUCAAUCGAGGCGAGAGUAUCAAAUUGCGGGGACGUGCUAAAGCUUCAAGUACUAAGCGCCGGCCGAAAGGGCGACGUGGCCGGGGUAAUGACCUAGGGUACAGUAACAACCUUGAAGAUGUGACAAUGUACAAUCCGCAGCCAAUUCCUACCUUGCCGUUUGGCGACAUGGAUGCUGUCCACAGACUAAAUGAUAUUCGGUCGAGGGCUCCCUGCCCUUGGCUUAAGAUAUAGUCGAUCCUCCGGGAAAGCCGGAGCCGUCAGGAGGAUUUC